UGGCGAACGGGUGAGUAACGCGUGAGGAACCUGCCUCAAANAGGGGGACAACAGUUGGAAACGACUGCUAAUACCGCAUAAGCCCACGGUGCCGCAUGGCACAGAGGGAAAAGGAGCAAUCCGCUUUGAGAUGGCCUCGCGUCCGAUUAGCUAGUUGGUGAGGUAACGGCCCACCAAGGCAACGAUCGGUAGCCGGACUGAGAGGUUGAACGGCCACAUUGGGACUGAGACACGGCCCAGACUCCUACGGGAGGCAGCAUG
rnacentral:rRNA from 1 species